GCAAACCGUGAAGUUGCAAAUACCAACCUCCAAAGAAAUCUUUAUCAGAAUGUGUCUCUUCUCCUACAUUAUGUGGAUCUCGUUGCUGGUAGCAGCUUUGGUUUUCUCAUCAUCCGACGCGCAUAAAAAAGGAAGAGGAGGCGGCGAGAGCGGAGGCGGUUACAGUGGCUAUGGCGGCCAACAAAAUAUAGGCUACGACGGUGGCCACGCUAUACCUUAUAGUUCGGGAUACAGUGGCCAUCCAUCGCCCGCUAGUGGAGGAUAUGGGGGCCGCAUGUC